rnacentral:lncRNA from 1 species
AAACAAUCCUAGGGAUGUUAAAUUUGUGUGCAACAUUAGUUGUCCAUGAGAAACACAUAUCAGAUAUUACACAACUUGGUGAAGGUUUCAUUUCUUGCAACAUUUCUUCCACUUGGGGUUGAAGUCUUCUCGUAGCAUCGUAGAAUUUCAGCCCCAAAUCCAUCGAUGGAAGCAUGUCGAAAUUUUCACACCCUUCAGGUAGUCCAGCCUCUACGCUUGGAAAGUAGAGGUGAACCACCUGAAUCUUUAGUCCUGUUUCAAUUGCAUGAUCAACAACAUUUUUGAAUCUAUUGGCGUUCAAGCGUGUAGUAAGGAUUGUGAUUAUAACUCCGCGUUGUGCCAGUAAUCGCGCCAUGUCAAUCAUAGGGAUCAUAUGGCCUUGUGCCAUGAAAGGAAGCAACACAAAAUGUGGCUGCAUUGUUGGAACAUCCAUAUUUUUAGUAGAAAGAUGAGAGGAUAUAUAUUUUUGUUAUACUAAUUAAGGUUGUUAUACUGGGUUUCAUUAUUGCUUUGUACAGUGAUUAUGUAACAGCACAGUUAGCAUUAUCUUAAUGUGUGGUUGGCAUUGUGAAUUUAGAUUUGUGAAGAUGCUGAUUGGAUUAUCAUUGUUGGAAAAGUAUAAGAUAAGAUUAAAUAGAGCAAAUGCCCAAAAAUAGUCCAUAAUUUUUGGGUUAAGAGCACCAAUAAUUACUCAGAGCCCUCCCACAAACUUUUACUUAUUUUUUAGCAUUGAUUUUGUCCAUAAUUUGAUGUAGAGAAUGUUCAAUCAUUUUUUUUUAUAUAUAUUUAGUAGAAAUAAUAACUCUAUGUAAGAGAAGGUGAGAAAAAAGACCCUUAUUUUGUUCAGUAAAAAUAUUAUUGCAGCUAAACUAAGAACGUAUCUUUGAUUGUCGAACUAUAUCAAUUUAUUGUUGACAUAUAACGUUGCAAGAAAAGAAAUUGUUGUACCACUGCGAUGUCAUAUGCCAACAAUGAAUUGAUAUAGUUCAACAAGUAAAUGUAGGUUCAUAGUUUAACUGUAAUAAUAUUAUCUAUUUAACGGAACAAGUUGUUCUAUAAGUUAUUAUUUCAUCUAAAUAUAUAAAAAAGACAAUUGAGCAUUCCAUACAUAAAAAUUUGGACAAAAUCAAUAUUAAAAAAAUAGGCAAGAGUGUAGGAGAGGGCUAAAAGUAUGCCAAUAUUACAAACAUAAAGGACUAUUAAUGCCCCAUGUGCAAACCAAAAAAUGACUUUAAGUCUUAACCCAAAGAUAAGAUAUUAUUUUGAGUUUUAUACAAGAUAGAUGUAGGAAUAAAAAUGGUCCCAUUCUACAAGUUCUGGCAGGAAGUGUAUCAUUCUUAUAAAAGAAAAUAAGAACUUAACACGAAUUAUUAAUCUCAUCCCUGAGUUAUUGGCACUUUUGAAAACACCACUUUACUUGACUAAUUGAACUUAAAUGCCCCCUCUCAUGCCAUACACGUAAACGUGUUAUUCACGCGAAAUUUUCUGCUGAUGUAGAAUAUAUAUAUUGUAUGACAUAAAAUCCAAAUCUUAAUACAUCGGUAGCCCAUUAAACUUGUCACAAAAUUUUACUCACCAUAACAAUAUCAAUAAAAUUAUAUGUGUCUUAUUAUAGUAACUGAACUUUUAACAUUACUAUAAAACUUGAUUUGAACUAUAAGGAAUACAUAGUUACCUCCUCAAUCAACCUUUUAAAAGAUUUGCUUGAUCUGUGACAUCUUGAAUCAAUUGUGUCAAGUUGAGGUAAGAGGAACCGCCUUCCUCCACAGUCCUCUUUGCCUUUUGUCCUAAUUCUUUUGCUCUUUUUCUUCUCAUUUCAGCUUCCAUUUCUUCACCCAUUACUUCUUCAAUCACCUUCUUAAUAUCAUCUUUGCUUACUUGUUUUCCCAAUUUUUCUUCUUCUCCAAACAUCACUGGAUUCUCCAUGCCGGCCUUCACUCCUGUCGCGAGUACACUCACUAUUAGCCUCUCAUUGCAAAACUGCUCAGCGAACAUUGGCCAAGUGAUCAUCGGCACACCAGCAGAUAUGCCUUCCAGGCUCGAAUUCCAUCCACAGUGCGUCAAGAACGCACCUAUUGAAGGAUGAGAUAAGAUUAGUACUUGUGGUGCCCAACCGUGGAUUAAAAGUCCUUGUCCUUUAACUCUUUCCUCAAAGUUUUCUUCCACUAGCCAUUUCUUGAACUCAUCUGACAUGUGUCGAACGACCCAAAUGAAGGGUCGUUUAGAUGAUUCUAACCCCAGCCCUAGCUCUACCAUCUGAGACGUGGAAAGACGCGAUAGGCUCCCGAGACAUACAAAGAGUACAGAGUCUUGUUCCCAAGAAUCAAGCCAUUUUAGGCACUUGUGUUCAUCAAUUGCAGCCUUGUUACCUCUUUCAACUUUGUCCUGUUUCUCUUUGUUACAGAGUGAAACAGGGCCAAUGGUCCAAAUUUUCUUGUUUUUCGCAUUCAUUAAACCCUCGACGUAUUCUUUUUCCAAAUCCUCAAAGCUAUUCACCACUAUCCCAUAAGCUUCAUCCUCUGCUUUCUUCAUUUGGUCCAUAAGCUCCUUCAUAUUUUCAUCUGUUGCCCUGAGAAUAUUCACAAGCUGAGCUUUGUUUAGUUCAAUCUUGUCGAAUAAUCCAGGCACUUGAAAGUAGUCUGUAUCAGACUCAAUCUUUUCUAACUCCUCCCAAUUUCUCAAAUUGUGUAAGCACAACAAAGAGAAGCAACACAUCCCAUGGAAAACAAUCCUAGGCAUGUUAAAUUUGUGUGCAACAUUAGUUGUCCAUGGGAAACACAUGUCAGAUAUUACACAACUCGGCGAAGGCUUCAGUUCUUGCAACAUUUCUUCCACUUGGGGUUGAAGUCUUCUCGUAGCAUCGAAGAAUUUCACCCCAAAUUCCAUCGAUGGAAGCAUGUCGAAAUUUUCACACCCUUCAGGUAGUCCAGCCUCUAAGCAUGGAAAGAAUAG